rnacentral:rRNA from 1 species
GCGGCAGGCUUAACACAUGCAAGUCGAGGGGUAACAGGGAUUGCUUGCAAUCCGCUGACGACCGGCGCACGGGUGCGUAACGCGUAUGCAACCUACCUUUUACAAGGGGAUAGCCCAGAGAAAUUUGGAAUAAUACCCUAUACGAUCAUCAAUUGGCAUCAAUUAAUGAAGAAAACUCCGGUGGUAAAAGAUGGGCAUGCGUCCUAUUAGUUAGUUGGUAAGGUAACGGCUUACCAAGACUUCGAUAGGUAGGGGUCCUGAGAGGGAGAUCCCCCACACUGGUACUGAGACACGGACCAGACUCCUACGGGAGGCAGCAGUGAGGAAUAUUGGACAAUGGAGGCAACUCUGAUCCAGCCAUGCCGCGUGCAGGAAGACGGCCCUACGGGUUGUAAACUGCUUUUAUACAGGAAGAACUAUAUCUACGUGUAGAUAUUUGACGGUACUGUACGAAUAAGGA